rnacentral:lncRNA from 1 species
GCAAAUCAUCACCUCUAACAUUGUCUUUAUGUAUGUUUCUCUCUCCCUCUCUCUUUUCCUUUCUUUCUGUGUGCAUGUGCAUGUAUUGCAUGAAGAUGCUUGUGGAAAUCCAAGACAUGGAAAACUACAGGAAACAUAACUCAGAAAAAUCCCAUUUCGUUGAGUCUGCCAGAAUUACCUAGUGUAAGCAGUGAUACAUUAGACAUGAACACCUCACAAGCAAAGAUCUGGUUAUGCCAGGAAAUCCAACUAAAGGUGCAACUACUGACAGCCCCUUGUCUUCUCCACUAGUGCAGCUUGUCAGCUCCAGUCCCAUUCUCCUUGGGAAUGAGGAACAACUGUUGCAUGCAGCAGUUCCUGGCCUCAUCCAGAACCUUCCUUGCCUUGGAACAGGUUCUUCUCUUGAGCGUGGUCGCAAGGCAGCAAAGUUUGAUCUUAACCACAUUCCCAGAAGAGUAUUUUGUGCUAAUGUACCUUCAAGUCAAGAAAGGGUAAUUCACAAUCCAACCACAUUCCAACAAAGAGUAAUCAUGUGAUCCUAUUACACUACAGUGCCCAGAACAGACAUCACCAUAUUUGUAAAUCUGC